GAUGAACGCUAGCUACAGGCUUAACACAUGCAAGUCGCAGGGUAACAUGAGGAAAGCUUGCUUUCCUUGAUGACGACUGGCGCACGGGUGAGUAACGCGUAUCCAACCUUCCCAUAACUACGGGAUAACCCGUUGAAAGACGGCCUAAUACCGUAUGACAUCGUUUGCUGACAUCAAAUAACGAUUAAAGGUUUAGCGGUUAUGGAUGGGGAUGCGUCUGAUUAGCUUGUUGGCGGGGUAACGGCCCACCAAGGCGACGAUCAGUAGGGGUUCUGAGAGGAAGGUCCCCCACAUUGGAACUGAGACACGGUCCAAACUCCUACGGGAGGCAGCAGUGAGGAAUAUUGGUCAAUGGGCGAGAGCCUGAACCAGCCAAGUAGCGUGCAGGAUGACGGCCCUAUGGGUUGUAAACUGCUUUUAUGUGGGGAUAAAGUGCGUGACGUGUCAUGCAUUGCAGGUACCACAUGAAUAAGGACCGGCUAAUUCCGUGCCAGCCGCCGCGGUAAAAGGG
rnacentral:rRNA from 1 species